rnacentral:lncRNA from 1 species
GACGAGGCAAGUUUGUCAACUAUGUGCAAUUAUCAAAUACAAAAUUCCGGGAGAAGAUUGUUCUACCUUACAAAGAAAAGGUUCCUGAGCUUCUUGAUAUUUUGAGAGCAGGUGAGUGUGAAGGGAAAUGAGCCCUUUUAUUUGGGGAGGAUGAGAAGGGCUUAGCUGCUGGUCUAACUCACAUGUGAAUUUCUCAACAGGAGAUGAGCAGUGAUUCGGCACCUUUUUCCUUGACAACGAGCUGUCUUACAUCAACCACCAGCCUUGGCUACUAAAGUGCAGUCCAGUGAAAGAAUUAUUCCUUGGUGUCUUAUGGUAGUAAUGUUGUAAUUGGAAGGUAUAUGCAGUGCACAACACAGUGUGUUCCAUUUUUACUCGUUGAGGUUCAUGUAAAAGUCUGUUCUUUGUUGCAAAGAAGAAGUCCCUGGAUGCUUGUUCAUAGUUUAUGUUUUAUAUUUUAGUGUGUUAGUUUAUUUAAUCUGUUCCGAUGUCAGUAUGACAAGGUUUCAAAAUCAUUUGGUUAUUAUCUCAUUUCUCAAUGGGCAAAUCGAGACCCAUAAUCGGCCUAAAUUGAGCUUUCCCAUUGAGUAGGCUUGCUCAAUAUUUUCUUACCUUUGUUUGUAAGGCCCAAUUGAACCCAUUACGACCUGUAAGCAGCCCGUUUCUUGUGCGUACGCUCAACCCUAUAUCUUACUUUCUUUAAAUGUUUGUUAUAGAUUGCUCCUCAGGCAAUCAGGUAAGUGUGAUUUCUGUGAAUUCUUCAACAAGUCUGCUGAUUUUUCUUCUUUCUUCCAAUUGUAAGUUAUCUGUUUUCAUUACACAACUAUGUGUUAGCAUAAUCUAGAUUCUUCAUCAUGUCUGCUGCAACUAUGUGUAAGCAUAAUAUAGAUUGGAAGUUAAAUAUAUCUCGCAAUGAUUGUAAGAAUUCUUCAAUGUCAUGGAGAGUAUUCAAGCUGAAGCUUUUGCGGAAUCAUUUAACUAUUGAUUGUUAUUAGCAAUAAGUAAGAAGGACAUUGCAAUAGCAUUCUUAGCUUAAAUUUUGAUUUUCUAAUUACCUUACUUUUCACUAAAGCAUGAUUGUGCCCUGUGAUAUUUUUAAUCAAAAGCUAAUUGUUUCUCUCCCUUAGAUUGGUUGUUUUUGAGGUGUUACUGUUAUGUGUAGCAAUAUUAUGCAAUGGAAGGUAAACUUGUGCAUUUUAAUAUUGUCUCGCAUCUUUGCAAUGAUCAUAAGCAAUUUUCAAGUUUCUGGUGGUGAAUCCAACCUCAUGUUCUGUUGAUUCAUUUCACUCCUUUUCUGUGAAGAAUGCAGCAGAUACUGAGAACACCAAAAUAACAUUCUAUAGAUGAUGAUGUAAAAUGAUGAGAAUUUUGCCAAUUAUUUAAUUUGAUUUUUUAUGUUGCCUGCUACUUUCCCCACUGUUGUUUUAGAGUGGAGUUCGUAGCCUAUGUUCUUCCAAGCAUGUUUGCCUUGAGCUAAAUGUAGUACCUGUGGGAUUUACAAUUGAAAGGUAUGCAGUAUGAUGAAGGCAACAGAGGUGCUUAAUGGCUUACUGGGAAUGGAUGCUUAGAUGUUACAUAGAUGUACUUAUACAUUGGGUCUCAGUUGAUAUAGCAAAAGGUUUGUUGUGAGUGCAAUGCCUUUUGUGCCAUGGUGCAGUUGGGAGCUAAACACAAUGAUAAUAUCUAUAUUAAGAUAAUGUGGAUGAGGCAAAUGUGAAUUUUGUUGGUGGAUAUUACAUGGUAGCCUAAUCUUUCCUUUCUUGUUUGAGGAUCAAGAUCGGCAGAUAAUUAAAACUUUUGAAUGGAGGAAUCAUCAUAUCUCCGGUCCACUAAUUUUCAUUUUAUACGGAUCAUUUUCAUAUCGAGAUAAAAUAACAUAUUAAAAUAUUUUAAUUUAUCUUUUAAAUAUCAUUAAUAUCUAGUAAUAUCAAUUAGUCGAUCUAAUUGAAUUAGAUUUAAUUAUAACCUAAUUAAAUUGAUUUUUAAUUCUCAUUUAAUAGAUCUAAAUUAUCUUACACUAAUAUAAUUUAGAUUAAAUUAAGUUUAAUUUUAUAUUGAAUAUAUUUAAAUAAAUCAAAUUGGUUCAUAAUCACCUUCAAUCAAUUUAAAUUUAUCAAAUUAGAUUUGGCUCAAUAGAACAUAAAUGAAAUAAAAUAAAGGUAAUAAGUUAAACUAUUUAGUAAUAUGUUAGGUUAAGCUAGGCAAUGUAGCAUUACAAAUAAUUAUACAUGUACCAUACCAAAGUUACGUUAGCUCAUAGCAAGUUAUGUUAGCUCAUAUCCCAUGGACUAAUCAUGUGUAUGACACAUGACUGUUCAUGUUGGAUCGGAUUGAACGACUAGUUGGCUUAAUCUGUUGGUUGAGUCUAAUCUACGGGUGGUGGUUUAGCAUGUGGACAGAGCCUGAUUUGUUAAGCAAAUUUUAACCUAUUAUAUUUAUUUAAUUAAUUGAUAAAAAUAAUAUUACUUAACUUAAAAUAUUGAAUAUUUAUUUUUAUAAAUUUUAUUCAUAUGAAAAGAAAGUAAAUAAUUAUACUUCAACUGAAAGAUUUGAGUAAAGAUGAAACGGUUAAAUUAGUAUCUUAAGGUCAUUUUAUCCAUAUUUUUGAUAUAGAUAAUUUAUUCCUAUAAUUUUUGUAUUUCUUGUUGAUAGCGAAGGUUAUACACACUCGCUAUAAGGACGGUUGUAGUGAUUAGGGUGCCGCUGCGGCCGCCCUCCUUUGUCCCAUAAUGGCGGCUGCGAGGCUCCGCACCGGACUCCGCCGCAAUAGCCUUCUGCCCUUGUUCGAAACCUGCCACCUUCCAGAUCGCCUCUUCUUCUCCUCCUCUGUACACGCUGCCGCCGUCACCGUAGGCGGCACCAUGUCUCCAGAUCCCCACUUCAUGGUGGAAUACCUCGUCAACUCCUGUGGGUUCUCCCCCUCCGAGGCAGCCAAGUUCUCUAAACCCCUUGCGCGCCUCCGAUCCACCGAGAAUCCCGACGCCGUAGUUAACUUCAUGAGAUCUCAGGGCUUCGAUGGCGCCGGUAUCAGGAAGGUGAUAUCUCGGAAUCCCAGUCACCUAUGCGUGAACGUGGAGAAGAACUUGGCCCCGAAGUUUCAGUUCUUACGCGAUUUGGGCCUAUCGGAGUCGGAUAUCGCCGAUGCCAUCCUGAAGAACGAUUUCAUCCUGCGCCUCGACGUUCACCGUUCCUUGAUCCCCAAAUUGGAGAUGUGGGAAAGUCUCUUGGGAUCGAGAGAGCUCGUUCUCAAGCAUCUCAAGAAGACAAGAUGGUUUUUCUCCUCCAGCGUUGAGAAGACGUUGCAUCCUAACCUAAAGUUCUUGAGGGAUGAGUGCGGCAUUCCUGAAGAAAGGGUCUCUGUCGUCUUGAGAAGUCACCCACAAUUAAUCUCACGGAAGCCAGAGUCUCUCCGAGCUUUGGUGGCGAGAGCCGAUGAGCUGGGGAUGCCACGGCAAUCUCGGAUGUUCGUGCGGACACUUGAUGCUCUCUUCAUGGUAAGCAAAGAAAGGUUCGAGGCCAAGGUCGAGCUCAUGAGGAGCUUCGGGUGGUCGGAGUCGGAGUUUUCUUCUGUAGUCAGGAAAGUACCCACCUUCUUAUGCAUCUCCCUCGAUAUGAUGCGCAGAAAAAUGGAAUUUUUUAUCAAUGUAGUCGGGUACACCCCUUCCUUCAUCGCCUCCCAACCAACUAUCUUGCUAUAUAGUCUGCAGAAGAGGGUCAUUCCUCGGUUUCAUGUGACGGAGAUGUUGAAAUCGAAAGGAUUGUGGACUGGACAAUGCAAGUUUUUAUGGAUUCUCAUAAUGUCAGAUACCAAAUUCAUGGAGAAGUUUGUUCUCCCUCACAAAGAAAAUGUCCCUGAGCUGCUUGAUAUUAUGAGAGUUGCUGGCGCGUGUAAAAGAAAUGAUACCUUUCAUUUGGCAUCGGAGGAUGAGAAAGGGCUUAACUGAUUGUCUGAUUUGUGACGACGAAGGUAUAUUAUUCCCCUAAUUUGAGAUUUUGGAAAUUUUACGCAAAGAACUUAUCUAAAGGUGUAUUGAGGUGUGGGAUAUUUCUUUUAUGACAAGCUUGAUUUGCAUUGAUUAUAAAUCAAAUUUGUUCUGUCUUACUGAUUGUUAGCUUAAAUUAUUUCCUGAUUUUCUUUGGCGUAGUAUUGUUGGUUUGUAUGUAAACUGCAUGUUCUAAAAAUUCUACCUAACAGUCCAACUGAUAUGACCUUUGGAUCUAUCGAAGGGACUUUUGGCUUUAGUCCAAAUUAAUUCCAAUUCCAGAUUGGUUUUUGUUUGGGUAAGUCUUGAAGAGUCAUAUUUCAGAUCAAGUUAUGCAGUAAGUAUAUAGAAAAUAUCACCAAAGAUCACAAGAAAUUGUUGAGUGGUAGUUGCUCUAAUGAUUUAAGUGGCUGAAAAACACUUAAACGCCAAAGAGUUGUUUCUGUAAUUUGUUUUUAAAUGAGUCAUCAACCAAUAUAUGGAUUUGGAUAUAUCUAAGAAGGUGUUAUCUCUUGUCAGUGGAGGCUUCUUUGCAAACUUAUCUAUUUAUGUACUAAUUGGAAUAUUGAAAUUUGAUUGAUGCAUUGUAAUAUUAGUAUGCAGUGGCUUCAAUGGAAUUUGAAAGACCAGUUGCACUGGAUUGAUCAGGAGUCACCAGCUCUUCUGAAAUGUCUUCAACCUCCUUUGGAAUUGCUAAAGCUUUUCUCGCAUCAACAAACUCUUGCAGCUCUUCUGCUCGUCCACUCUUUGUGAUUCCAGGUGCAGAUCUCUUCAUUCUUGGAGUUCAUUCUUGGAUUCGGUGGAUGCAACUUCUCAUCCACCCUUUGUUAUCAUAUCAUGGCUGAAGCUUCUGCUCUACCCGAAAGCCUUCGGAAGGCUAAGAGAAUUGUGAUGAUUCGCUGGUUCCUUAAGAAUAUUUUGGAUGACAUCUUAUCUCUCUGUUCAAGUCUUUAUGUUGUCGAUGUGGUCUAUGUUUCCCGGCGUCAUGAAUGACGUGGCUCGUCCGCUAGUCAAUUUUGGGGGAACUGUAAAUUCUUUCCGUUUUUUUUUCCUCUUCUAAUGAUGGAUAAGUGUUGCUUAAUCCACUUUUAACCUUUAAUGAAAUUUCUCCUUUUUUCAUUAAAAGAAAAAAAACUCUUAGCAUGCAUGCUCAAAAGGUUUUAAAGUGACAAUUAAAUGUGUAUUUCCAGAUUCUGUAAUUACCUUUAGCUCUUGUUGUAGAGUUUAUGUAUAUUUACAUCACUAGUAUUUCACACUUUCUUGACCCAUUCUCUGCUAGUUUUCUUUUCUGCCUAACCAUUCCAUUGUGCAACCAAUAAAUUAUUUUGGAUCCAAUUAAUGAAUAAUUAUAUAUUUUAAUGUGUAAAUAAUAAUAAUAAAAAUCACUUUUUAAAGAAAUCAGGUAUUUGUUAUAAAGAGACAAAAUUAUAUAAAUAUUUUGUAGACCAUAAUUUUUAUCUAAAUAAUUUAUUACUAUAAUUUUUAUUUCUCAUGCAUAACGAAUGACUAAUAAUUUGAGUAACUCCAAACUCAGAAAAAUUCUAUGAAACAAUAUUUUCUGAUAAAAAAUUCACUACUAUAUCUAUGAAAGGUUCAUUUCAUACGAUUGUUGUAAUUAUAUAGCAUACUCUAUUGUCAGACUGCUUUGAGGUGUGGAGAGUGAUAUAUACUCUUACAAUCUCACAAUUUGCUUGCAUAGAAAUUUUUACUUGACAAACCACUCACAUGAGAAUUCUAAAUAGAGAUUUGGGGUAUAUCAGAGUCACAUUCGAUCAUUCUUGGAUUGAGAGUCACAUUAUUGCAUAGAGUCAUAUUGGGUUAUAAAAGAAAACUGACAGUGAAUAAGGAGAAGUGCAAGGACUCAGUGUUGCUACGUUGCUCUCAAACUGAGAAACCAUCGAUACGGCAAUAAUAUGGUUAAUUUUAAAAGUCAAGAAACAAGAUAAACAUAAACUUAAUAACAAUGAGAAUUGCAAGGAUAAAGUCUAUCACAUCCCAAAUUUAAAGAAAAAUAUUAUUUGUUUAUUUAUAAUUUAUAUAAGAUUUUUUUGUUAAUCUUUAUACUUUGAUCGUUAUCUUUACAAUACUAAAUAUUUUUUAACUAAAAAAAUCAUAUCUUUUUAGUAAGGUGAAAGGUGAUAAGGAAAUCUCUUCCAUCCAAACUGAGAUGUAUUAAGAAGUAGUAUGUUAUACUAUAAAUAAAUAUAAGUUAAAAAAAUAUCACCAAUUAUGGUCGAUUUUUAAAAAAUCAUAAAUAUAAUUUUUAAUAUUUAUGAAACACAUACAAAUAUUAAUGAUUUAAUAUAAAAUGAUAGUAUAUCUAUCUAUUAUUAAACUUAUGUAUUAGAAAAAUAAUGAUAAUUUCUAUAUAGUAAAUAAAAUCAUGCAUCAUUCACAUAUAAUACAUAUAUAAUAGUCAGAUAAUAAAAGCUUAGAUUAUACCCGAUGAUGUACUCUCCCAACAAUGAAUGGAGGGACAUAUUCCACGAGAUCGAUUUCUCUCAAUAACGGAUGGAGAGAACUUAUAUAAAUCUUCAUACAACGGAUGAAGUAGUAUCCAUCAUCUACCUAAGUGAAGACAUAUUUCUUCUAACAAUGGAUGGGAGAACCGUCUAAUUGUCAAGUUUGAUGGUCUGUUAAUCCUUGAAGGAAUCGCUUUACUUGUUCUCGGUAAAGAUAUAUAGUUAAACUCAAUCAUCCAUUUAUGCAAUACAUUCAAAAAAUAAUAUGAUAAAAUAUUAUUAAGAUUCAUGAUUGAUGUAUGACUUAUCAUACUAUAUCCAUUAUCGACUGCAUUGUAAUAAAUCGAUAGCUUUUUUCAUAGGUCGUACUUCCAAUGUAGACCACUCUACAUAGUUAUAUAUACAAUAUGAUAGCAAUCACAUUAAUAUCAUCAAUUUAAUUAAAAACUAAUAAUUAUUUCCAAAUGACAUAUUUAGAUAAAAUUUUUAAGUUAAUUAAAUCAAUAUCUUAAUAGUCUUCGUUAACAAGAACCCUAAUUAGCACUUACAAAAAAAAAAAGAACCAUAAUUAGCAUAACCCAAUUGACUUCAAGCAAACUUAAUUCAACUAGAAUCUAAUCGAACCAACCUCCAAAUUCUCUAAAAGUGAUUUUUAAUUACUAGUCUAAUUUAGAUUUGAUUGAUUUCAAUUAGGUCAAAUAAAUUUUUCUAAUAGUAGAUAAAGAUAAACCCUAUUUGAUGGUUUACUAUCCCCGAAGAAUAUCACUCUAUCUAUUAUCGAUGGAAAAAUAAAAUCAUCUGGUCAUAUGCAUAUCGAGAUGAAAUAAUACAAUGAAACAUCUUAAUUUAUCUUUUUAACAUCAUUAAUGUCAAAUAAUAUCAAUUAGCUCUCAAAGCUAUGAUUUAAUCGGAUCGAUUUAACUAUAACAUAACUAAAUCGAUCNNNNNNNNNNNNNNNNNNNNUUGGUUAGACUCAACUAAUCAGUUGAGCCUAACCUACUAGUUAUGGCUUAGUUUGUGGGUUGUGCAUGACUUGUUGAUUAAUUUCAACUAAAAUUAUCGUAAAUUUCUUUAAUUUUAAAUUAUAACAUUAUGAAAUUAUAAUCAUUAACAUUAUUCAUUAAAAUAUAAUAAAUAAUAAAAAAUAAAAAGUUAAAAUUGUAUAAGAGAGGAAAUAAUAUUUUCAGUCAACUAUUAUAUAAAUUUAAUAUUAAACUAUUAUAACUAGCAUUCAAGAUAAAAUAAAAAUAAAAAUUAUAAUAGCAUGAAUAACUAUAAUCUAUUAUAAUUAAAAACAAAAUUUUAAAUACUUAAAGGAAUAAAAAAAUUUAAAACUAUAUAUAGCAUGUAUAAUUAUAAUAUAAUUUUAAUCUAACAAUAAAAUUUUAAAUAUUUAAAGAUAAAAAAGAAAAUGUUUAUAUUUAAAAAAAUAUAAGAGAACAAAAAAAAUAUAUAACUUUUUGUUUCUUGAAAAAUGAAGAAGAGGAAUCCUCCCCUUGAAUAAAAAGAGAUGAGCCCUUUAAGGUAAUUAUAUUUCUAUAUUUUUAUUUAAUUUAUUGAUAAAAUAAUAUCAUUUAAUCUAAAAUAUUAAAUAUUUACUUUAUAAAAUUUUAUUCACAAGAAAAUUUAAAAAAUUAUAUUUUGUAGAUCAAUUUAACUAUAUUUUUUAUAUAAAUAAUUUAUUCCUAUAAUUUUGUAUUUCUUGUGCAUAACGAAGGUUAUACUCACUACAUAUAUGGAGGGUUGGAAGAAUUAGGGUGCCUCUACGUUUGCUCUCCUUUGUCCCACAAUGGCGGCUGCGACGUUCCGCUCCGCACUCCGCCGCAAUAGCCUUCUGCCCUUGUUCGAAACCUGCCGCCUUCGAGAUAUCCUCUUCUCCUCCUCCUCUGUCAACGCUGCCGCCGCCGUAGGCGGCACCAUAUCUCCAGAUCCCCACUUCAUGGUCGAAUACCUCGUCAACUCCUGCGGGUUCUCCUCCUCCGAGGCAGCCAAGUUCUCUAAACCCCUUGCGCACCUCCGAGCAACCGAGAAACCCGACGCCGUCCUUAACUUCAUGAGAUCUCAGGGCUUCGAUGGCGCCGGUAUCAGGAAGGUGAUAUCUUCGAGACCCAAUUACCUUUGCUGCAACGUGGAGAAGAACCUCGCCCCGAAGUUUCAGUUCUUACGCGAUUUGGGCCUAUCGGAGUCUGACAUCGUCGAUGUCAUCCGGAAUAACGAUGACAUCCUCCGCCGCAACGUUCACCGUUCCUUGGCCCCCAAAUUGGAGAUAUGGGAAAGUCUCUUGGGAUCGAGAGAGCUCGUUCUCAAGCAUCUCAAGAAGACAAGAUGGUUUUUCUGCUCCAGCGUUGAGAAGACGUUGCAUCCUAACCUAAAGUUCUUGAGGGAUGAGUGCGGCAUUCCUGAAGAAAGGGUCUCUCUCGUCUUGAGAAGUCACCCAAAAUUAAUAUCACAGAAACCAGAGUCACUCCGAGCUUUGGUGGCGAGAGCCGAUGAGCUGGGGAUGCCACGGCAAUCUCGGAUGUUCAUGUGGACACUUGAUGUUUUCCACAAGGUAAGCAAAGAAGCGUUCGAGGCCAAGGCCGAGCUCAUGAGGAGCUUCGGGUGGUCGGAGUCGGAGUUUUCUUCUGCAGUCAGGAAAGCACCCACCUUCUUAUGCAUGUCCCUCGAUAUGUUGCGCAGAAAAAUGGAAUUUUUUAUCAAUAUAGUCGGGUACACCCCUUCCUUCAUCGCAUCCCAACCAACUAUCUUGCUAUAUGGUCUGCAGAAGAGGGUAAUUCCUCGGUUUCGUGUUUUGGAGAUGUUGAAUACGAAAGGCUUGUGGACUCGACGAGGCAAUUUUUCCCACUAUGUGCAAUUAUCAAAUACAAAAUUCCGGGAGAAGAUUGUUCUACCUUACAAAGAAAAGGUUCCUGAGCUUCUUGAUAUUUUGAGAGCAGGUGAGUGUGAAGGGAAAUGAGCCCUUUUAUUUGGUAUCAGAGGAGGAUGAGAAGGGCUUAGCUGAUGGUCUAACUCACAUUUGAAUUUCUCAACAGGAGCUGAGCAGUGAUUCGGCACCUUUUUCCUUGACAACGAGCUGUCUUACAUCAACCACCAGCCUUGGCUACUAAAGUGCAGUCCAGUGAAAGAAUUAUUCCUUGGUGUCUUAUGGUAGUAAUGUUGUAAUUGGAAGGUCUAUCCAGUGCCCAACACAAAAUGUUUUCCAGUUUUACUCAUAUUAAGGUUCAUGGAAAAGUCUGUUCUUUGUUGCAAAGCAGAAGUCCCUGGCCUGUUUGAAAUCUCUGAUCGAUGAAGGUGGAUUAUUCCCCUAGUUUGAGAUUUUGGAAAUAGAAUGCAAAUGGCUUCUCUAAUUUUGGAAAUAGAAUGCAAAUGGCUUCUCUAAAAGUCUAUUGAGGUGUGAGAUUCUUCUUAUGUGACAAGCUAGAUUGGCAUUGAUUAUAAACCAACUUUGUUUUGUCUUAUUAAAUGUUUGCUCGAAGCAUUUUCUGAUUGUGUUUGGCACACUAUUGUCGGAUUGUAUGUGAACUGCAGGUUUUAGAAUUUCUAUGCAAACUAGUUCUUGUGCUAAUUGGAAGAUUCCAUUUAUGUUUCUGUUAUGUAGAAUUUUUAAGACCGGUUGCUGUGUUGAUCAGGAUUACCAUUGCUUUGGUACUCACCCAUUUCUUUUGUAUGUAAGAAGUUGUCACUUUACUUGCAGGUUGAAUGGACUUCAGAGAUUCAAUACUUGAGUAUGCUAUCCUGAAAUGUCUUCAGCCUCAUUGGAAUUGUUGCUCUGGCAUUUCCUGCAUCAACAAACUCUUAACAUGCAAACUAAUUUUAUUAUAAGCCAAAACAUUUUAAAAUGGACGGCAAAAUGUGUAUUUCAAAUUCCCGUAAUUGUCUUUAGGUUUUCUUGUAGAGUUAAUGAUCAUUACAUCACAAGGUUUUAUGUCCUGCAUUUAGUGCAGAAAUGAUUACUUAGGAUUGUGCACAGUAUCCGGACCCAUUCUCGGCUACUUUUGUUUCUGCCUCUCCAUGCGAUUGCGCAUAUUUUUAAUAUCACAGUCCAGGUAAAAUCAUAAGAAUAUCGAUCAUCUUUGUCAAUAUGUAAAACGAUUUCUGAAUCUUGAUAUCUGCUGUUCCAUAUUUUGCAGCGAAUUUUGUGUAGCUGUGCAUGAGUUGUGGAACUGACACAACUUUCAAGUGCAUCAAGAAUACUGGAUGGUAUGCAAAAACUGCUUUUCUAAUUACUUUAUUUAUCCUUCCAUGCUUGUUAGUAGUGCUACAGAGUUUGCUAUGAAUCUUGUUUCUUGCAAGCAGAUCAUUGGAAGUGAGUGUUGGAUUCUUGUUCGUAGUAUUUGUUUUAUUUUUGGUGUUAGUUUAUUUAAUCUGUUGUGAGGUCAGUAUGACAAAGUUUCAAAAUCAUUUGCUUUUUAUCUCAAUUGACUGGGCAUAUCGAGACUCAUAAUGGGCCUAAAUUGGGCUUUCUCAUUGAUUAGGCUUAUCAAUAUUUCUCAACCAAUGUGGGACUAAAUGGUUUGUUCCCUCUUGUAGGGGAGCUAAGGGCUAAUAAUCGAGGUGUACGACUCGAGAGCUAGUAUGCUCGGUUGAGGUGUAGGCAUCGGCCCCUCCUUCUAACGUCAAUCUGAUCGAGAUCUUUUACACCGUGGCUGAGGGGUCGGCAUGGUUCGAUCUAGUCUUAGGUGCAUAAGAUCACCUGCGUCGGUACUUCGGCAGCGGAAGCCAUUGUCUAGUGGGGGUCGAGCUCGAACCUCGCUUCUGGGUUGUGGGGGUUCCCCUUUGAUGGUUCGCCUUCCUCCCUAUUACAUGUUCCCGCACACAGGUUGGGACGGGGAUUUCUCGAUUUGACCCAUCCGAAGAUUUUAUUAGAAUUGAGUGGAGAAUGGGUAAGCAAUCCUUUCUCAUCGUCGGAUAAUGGGUUUUUAUCCUUGCGCAUGGGGGCCAGUCGUACCUAACACAACACAUUUAUGGUUGUCGACCCAUCAAGUGGCGGGCUUACUCAAGCAGAUAUUUGGCAUCCUUAGUGCCACGGUGUUGAAUAGUGGCGUCAUAUACGGUUGGUGCCAUCUCGACCUUUGCGAGGCGAUGUUGUGCUCGGUCGGUAUCGUCCCAAUCUUUGUGGAGCAGCGUCGUACCCGGUUGGUGUCGUCCCGACCUUUGCGGGGUGGCGUUGUACUCGGUCGACGCCGUCUCAAUCUAAAGGACAAAACUGUGCAGGUACGCUCAUCGCCCAAAGCAGAUAAUUUCUCGUGAGUCUACGGGUUACACCAAUGAUCGACCGACCAAAUUAUCCCUUAUCAGUAUAUAUAGGAUCGUAAGAUUAUCAAUCAUCCUUAUAAAUGCGUGAUAUGCCUUUUAUAUUUUGAUAUUAGUUGUUCCAUCUUUGCUGUGCAGGAGUUGUAGAACUUGCAAGUCCAUCGAGAAUAUUAGGAAGAUACUCUUUUUUUCUUUAUGACUAAAUAAUAACGUCCCAAAUCUUUAUGUCAAUACACGUAUGUCUCAAUUUUGGGAAGAUAGACAUUAAUGAAAUGAAUAUAUGGAAGGAAGUGAGAAAAAUAUAAUUCAUGAAUUUAAAUAAGACAAGUAAUCCAAGCAAAAUCGGGCACUUAUGUCAUGUUAAUGAACCAAUGCAAUGUGAACAUCAAACAUAAAGGAUAGGAUACGCUCACGAAGUUGGCAUGUAUAGAUUGAUGUCUCCAGAUUGAAAUGAGACAUGCUAAAAUUAAUAGGUGUUGUGGUACGUACGUGUAUNNNNNNNNNNNNNNNNNNNNUAUAUAUAUAUAUAUAUAUAUAUAUAUAUAUAUAUAUAUAUAUAUAUAUAUAUAUAUAUAUAAGAAAUAAUAAAAUUUAAUUAAAAUAUUAUUUAAUUCAUGAUCAACAUCUCUGCAUCGAUCAGUGGACAAUCUCUCCUCUUUUUGCAUGAGGAUCACCGACAAUAGUCGAUGGGCGAGGUAACUAAGGUUUGAAUAGCGGGGGAUAAUUGAUGAGGUAAAAAUAUGAUGAAAAGUAUGUAAAAGUAAGAAACGAUGACCGAAAUUAAAUGAAUAUUAAAAAAAUAUUUUAUUUUUUUAAAUUUAGGCAAUUUCAUAAGAAAAUUUCAAUGUUUAUUUAAAAAAAAUAGAAUUCGUCCGAUGAUCAAAUCACUUUUCUCGUGAAAAGAGUGUUUUCUUAUGGAGAGAUAAAAUUAUAUAAAUAUUUUGUCGAUCACUUUAUCCAUAUUUGUGAUAUAAAUAAAUUAUUCCUGCAGUUUUGUAUUUCUUGUGCAUAGCGAAGCUUAUACACACUAUAUAUAGGAAUUAGGGUACCCAUCUCAGAUUUCUUUCGUCUCCCACAAUGGCGGCUGCGACGCUCCGCUCCGUGCUCCGCCGCAAUCGCCUCCUGCCCUUGUUCGAAACCUGCCACCUUCGAGAUCGCCUCUUCUUCUCCUCCUCUGUCGACGCUGCCGCCGUCACCGCAGGCGGCACCAUGUCUCCAGAUCCCCACUUCAUGGUGGAAUACCUCGUCAACUCCUGUGGGUUCUCCCCCUCCGAAGCAGUCAAGUUCUCUAUACCCCUUGCGCUCCUCCGAUCCACCGAGAAACCCGACGCCGUCCUUAAUUUCAUGAGAUCUCAGGGCUUCGAUGGCGCCGCUAUCAGGAAGAUUAUAUCUUUGAAACCCACUUACCUAUGCUACAACGUGGAGACGAACCUCGCCCCGAAGUUUCAGUUCUUACGCGAUUUGGGCCUAUCGGAGUUGGACAUCGUCGAUGUCAUCCUGAAGAACAAUGGCAUCCUCCACUACAACGUUCACCGUUCCUUCGUCCCCAAAUUGGAGAUGUGGGAAAGUCUCUUGGGAUCGAGAGAGCUCGUUCUCAAGCAUCUCAAGAAGACAGGAUGGCUUUUCUUCUCCAGCGUUGAGAAGACAUUGCAUCCUAACCUAAAGUUCUUGAGGGAUGAGUGCGGCAUUCCUGAAGAAAGGCUCUCUGUCGUCUUGAGAAGUCGCCCACAAUUAAUCACAAAUAAACCAAAGUCACUCCGAGCUUUGGUGGCGAGAGCCGAUGAGCUGGGGAUGCCACGGCAAUCUCGGAUGUUCGUGUGGACACUUGAUGUUCUCCAAAUGCUAAGGAAAGAAAGGUUCGAGGCCAAGUUCGAGCUCAUGAGGAGCUUCGGGUGGUCGGAGUCGGAGUUUUCUUCUGCAGUCAGGAAAGCACCCACCUUCUUACGCAUGUCCCUCGACAUGAUGCGCAGAAAAAUGGAAUUUUUUAUCAAUGCAGUCGGGUACACCCCUUCCCUCAUCGCCUCCCAACCAACUAUCUUGCUAUAUAGUCUGCAGAAGAGGGUCAUUCCUCGGUUUCAUGUGACGGAGAUGUUGAAAUCGAAAGGAUUGUGGACUGGACAAUGCAAGUUUGCAUGGAUUCUCAUAAUGUCAGAAACCAAAUUCAUGGAGAAGUUUGUUCUCCCUCACAAAGAAAAUGUCCCUGAGCUGCUUGAUAUUAUGAGAGUUGCUGGCGCGUGUAAAAGAAAUGAUACCCUUCAUUUGGCAUCGGAGGAUGAGAAAGGGCUUAACUGAUUGUCUGAUUUGUGACGACGAAGGUAGAUUAUUCCCCUAAUUUGAGAUUUUGGAAAUUUUAUGCAAAGAACUUAUCUAAAGGUGUAUUGGAGGUGUGGGAUAUUUCUUUUAUGACAAGCUAGAUUAGCAUUGAUUAUAAAUCAAAUUUGUUCUGUCUUACUAAUUGUUAGCUUAACUUAUUUUCCGAUUGUCUUUGGCACAGUAUUGUUGGUUUGUAUGUAAACUGCAUGUUUUAAAAAUUGUACAUAACAGUCCAACUGAGAUGACCUUUGGAUCUAUCGUAGGGAAAUUUGGCUUUUGUCCAAAUUAAUUUCAAUUCCGGAUGGGAUUUUGGUUUGUUGGGUAAGUCUCAAAGAGUCCUAUUUUAGAUCAACUUAUGCAGUAAGUAUAUACAAAAUAUCACCAAAAAUCACAGGAAGUUGCUGAGUAGUAGUUGCUCUAACGAUUUAAGUGGCUGAAAAACACUUAAAACUUCUUUGCAAACUUAUUUAUUUAUGUACUAAUUGGAUUAUUCAAAUUUCAUUGAUGCAUUGUAAUAUUAGUAUGCAGCGGAGAUUGUGCUGAUGGGGCAAAGGCCCAGGAUCCAGACAAUAGUACAUCAUUUUCAACGAAGUCGGUGGACUUCGAGAGCUAUUAGGCGACGGACUAUCCUAGAGCGGUGCUUCAUUUGGGUGUGAUAAAAAAACACGUGGACGAAGGUUGAUUGUCAAAGAAGCGAACAUAAUCGAAGGUGGAAAAAACCUUACGAUGUGUUGGCAGAGGCCACACAAGAAGGGAUCACAAUCUGAGUUCAUCCCACAAUGAUCAGAAUGCAAUGGAGAUACCAUCAAGAGACGAUAUGGUGCAGCAGAUCGUGGUGGAACAAUUCGUGGCAAUAUACACAAAACUAGUCCCGCGAGGGACUAGAUCAUACAUAGAUAUGAUCGGGAGCUAUUGGGAGCUCAACUUCGGUAAACAACACGAUGACAAGACAUCCUUGGUGUCUCAAGUUUAAGGACCAAAUACACUAUUAGGACAAUGGAAUCACUAUUUAAUAAUGAGAUAUAAUCAAUAAUCCAACGUUUCGUGAGUGGAUCAAUUAGUGAACUCAUUAUUUAAUGAGCACUUGCGUUGUAUCCCUAGUGUCCCCACACGAGCAACUAUGAGACAUGUCGCCUCCAUUAUAUAGAUGGAUAUACAACAUCCAGUCUAUCUGGUCAUCUCGAUGUCCCUCUCGAGUAACCUAUGAUUGAGAUUAAUUAAGGUUUAUAUUUAAAAAUAAAUUUAUCUCAUUAUCAUGAUCUUAUUACGAUCCGAUUUCUAUUGUAUAAAUCUAUAAAUAUCACAAUACAUAUAACAAAUAAUAGAAAGUGAAAAAAAUAUCAAAUAAAUAAUAAAUAAAAAAAGUGUGUAUUAUGUCACUCAUCAAUCACACACAUAAUUGACUUGUAGGGUACUUAUGACUAGCUCGAAUGAGCACUCUCCCAAUAAUGAACGAAGAUGUUUUAUUCUAUAGGAUGAUUUUAUGUUCUUCGAAUAGGGAGAAAUUCAUAUUGUACUCGCAACAAUGGAUGGAGUGAUAUUCCUCACAUGUCAAAGUAGGGAUACAUUCCUCCUAAUAACGGAUGGAGGAAUCAUCACAUCUGACAACCUACUAAUUCAUGAAAGAAAUCACUCUAUCUGCCCUCUUUAAGGAAACAAAAUCAUCUUAUAUUGAUCAUUUUCAUAUCGAGAUAAAAUAACAUAUUAAAACAUCUUAAUUUAUCUUUUAAAUAUUAUUAUUAUCAAAUAAUAUCAAUUAGUCUUUAAUUGACUUAAAUCAUUGUUUAAUCGAUCUAAUCGAAUUAGAUUUAACUAUAACAUAAUUGAAUUAAUUUUUAAUUCUUAUUUAAUCGAUCUAAAACUAUCUUACACUGAUAUAAUUUAGAUUAGAUUAAAUUUAAUUUAUGUUAAAUAGAUUUAAAUAAAUCAAAUCGAUUCAGAAUCAUCUUCAAUCGAUUUAAAUAUAUCAAAUUAGAUUUGACUCAAUCAAACAUAAAUAAAAUAAACUAAAUGUAAUAAGUUAAACUGUAUAGUAAUAAGAUAGAUUAAGCUAACCAAUGUAUGCAUGACUAUGCAUGUACCAUAUCAAAUUAUGUUAGCUCAUAGUCCAUGGAUUACUCAUGUGCAUGACACAUGACUGCCCAUGUUGGACCGAAUUGAACUACUAGCUAGGCUUAGCCUUUUGGCUGAGUCUAAUCUACGUGUUGUGGUUUAGCUUAUGGGCAGAGCCUAAUUUGCUAAGCAGAUUUCAACUAAAUCUUAAUUAAUUUUUUAAUUUUAAAUUAUAGCAUCAUGAAAUUAUAAUCAAAACACUUAACUAUUACCAAUGAGUCAUUAAAACAUAAUAAAUAGUAAUAGAUUAAAAAUAUAAAAUUACGUUGAAGGGAAAAUAAUUUUUUUACUCAACUAUUAUACAAAUUUAAUAGAAAUUAAAUAUUACAACUAGUAUGAUGCAUGCAAAAUACAAAUUUUAAAAAAUAUUAUAGUAUGAAUAAUUAUAAUAUAUUAUAAUCCAAAAAUAAAAUUUUAAAUAUUUGGAGGAAAUAUAAUAAAAUUCUAGAAACUAUAUAUAGCAUGAAUAAUUAUAAAAUAUUUUAAUCAAAAAAUAAAAUUUUAAGUACUUGAAUGAAUAGAGAAAAUAUUAGAAACUAUAUAUAGUAUGAAUAAUUAUAAUAUAUUUAAUCGAAAAAUAAAAUUUUAAACACUUAGAGAUAAAAGAAAAUAUUAAUUUUUUUAAAAAAUAUAGAAGCGAAAGGAAUCGUCUUAUUAAAUAAAAAGAGUUAGCCCUUCAAGGUAAUAAAAUUUUUAAUUUUUAUAUUAUAUAUAUAUAUAUAUAAUUAAUAAAAAUAGUAUCACUAACUUAACAUUUUGAAUAUUUAUUUUAUAAAUUUUAUUCAUAAGAAAAGAAAGUGAAUAAUUAUACUUAAAGAUUUGAGUAAAGAUGAAACAGCCAAAUUAGUAUUUUAAGAUCAUUUUAUCCAUAUUUUUUAUAUAAAUAAUUUAUUCCUAUAAUUUGGUAUUUCUUGUGCAUAGCGAAGGUUGUACACACUACGUAUAAGGAGGGUUAUUGUAAUUAGGGUGCUGCUACGGUUGCUCUCGUCCCACAAUGGCUGCUGCAACGCUCCGCUCCAUACUCCGUCGUAAUAGCAUUCUACCCUUGUUCGAAACUUGUCGCCUUCGAGAUCUCCUCUUCUUCUCCUCCUCUGUCUAUGCUGCCGUCGCCGUAUGCGGCACCACAUCUCCUAGUCCCCACUUCAUGAUGGAAUACCUCGUGAACUCCUGCGGAUUCUCCCCCUUCGAGGCAGCCAAGUUCUCUAAACCCAUUGCUUACCUCCGAUCCACCGAUAAACCCGACAUCGUCCUUAACUUCAUGAGAUCUCAGGGCUUCAAUGGUGCCGGUAUCAGGAAGGUGAUAUCUUGGAAUGCUAGUUACCUAUGCAUGAAUGUGGAGAAGAACUUGGCCCCGAAGUUUCAGUUCUUACUCGAUUUGGUCCUAUCAGAGUCGAAUAUCGUCGAUGUCAUCUUAAAGAACCAUGUCAUCCUCCUCCUCAACGUUCACCAUUCCUUCGUUGCCAAAUUGGAGAUGUGGGAAAGUCUCUUGGGAUCGAGAGAGCUCGUUCUCAAGCAUCUCAAGAAGACAGGAUGGUUUUUCUUCUUCAGCUUUGAGAAGACAUUGCAUCCUAACCUAAAGUUCUUGAGGGAUAAGUGCGGCAUUCUUGAAAAAAGGGCCUCUCUUGUCUUUAGAAGUCACCCACAAUUAAUCUCACAGAAACCAGAGUCACUACGAGCUUUGGUGGCGAGAGCCGAUGAGCUGGGGAUGCCACGGCUAUCUCGGAUGUUUGUGCGGACACUUGAUGUUCUCCAAAUGGUAAGUAAAGAAAUGUUCGAGGCCAAGGUCAACCUCAUGAGGAGCUUCGGGUGGCCGGAGUCGGAGUUUUCUUUUGCAGUCAGGAAAGUACCCGUCUUCUUAGGCAUGUCCCUCGAUAUGAUGCGUAGAAAAAUGGUAUUUUUCUAUCCAAAACCAAGCAUCGGUUAAAAUGAAGGUAAACUUGGAGGAGUGCCACAGAGGCAUAUCUACCGAUCGCAAAAAAAGGCACGAAGAUGUGAGGUGAUGGAUAGUAGGGUCAUGGGCAUGGUAGCACCAUGGUACCGCAAAGGCGGGACUUCCAUGAAGUCAUCGAUCCCUUGCUCUUCUAGAGGGAGAGCGCUUGGUCGUGAAAGGGGUCGGGAAGGUGGAGAAUGCAGAGGCAAACAAUAAGUACCGAGACAAAGUUGAAGGGCAAAGAUCAGGAAACUUCGUAAGACCGAUGUUAAUAAUCUUUCUCAUUAAGAUAGUCGAAAGUAAAGAACUUCGGGUUGAUGCAAGAGUGUUCAACCGAGGAAUAAAGUAGACAGUACGUGGUGCUAUACCUUUGCAACUCAGUAGGAGUAGGCAACAAAGAUGAUGGAGAAGACGGAUACAAUCCUAGUGACGACCAAAACUAUUAGGGAUAUGCUCCAAGUUGGGGUGAAAACUUCUUGCAUUCAAGAAGUUCAAUAGUAUUGAGAAGGUGAAUCACAGUAGCUAACUCAAUGCAAGGAGUGCAAACACUUCGAGUGCUUCAGAAGUGUGAGCAAAGAGUAUGUGAAAGUUAGUAAUCAGCUCGAUGCAUGGAGUACAACCCUCGAGGAGGCAGGCGAAGUCAAGUAACCUUUGCCUUCUUAACUCUUAAGAGAAUGGGCGAAACUGAGUAUCUCAAUUCUCUUAUCUAUCCAACAGAGAAGCUCUACACAAGUUCAAAGACCCUUCGAAGAAACCGAAUGGAAGACAAUAGUUAUCAAAUCCUCACCAAUGGUGAUCAGUGCUACUAAGAGUAGAUUAUCCGCUUCAUUUUCUAACAGAAUGCCAAUUGAAAGCGGAAGUGGUGUGAACCUACUUGGAAGUGACGACGAAGUGGAAGAAGAAUCGAUAGACAAAUUUUAUAAAGGAAGGACCCAAAAAUUUUAAAGUCUGCGAGGCGAUGCUCGCUAAAGCUCCAACAAGCAUCCACCUAGUUCAAGCAGCAUGAAGCAUUUGAGAGACUAGAAAAUACUAAGGAUGAUAUUUUCCUUCAUCUGAGGGAUCCACGGGAAACAACAAGGAUCAGCACAACUUAGUCGACCCCACACCAGAGUCAGAGUUAUUAGCGAGUUGAAACAGCAUGGCGGAUCAAAGUUCGACUACUCAACAACAACGACGGAGUGCAGUUGGGAGCCAUGAGGCGCAUUGCAAUUGGAGCACAAGAUUGAAGACUCAACAAAGGCGAGGAGAUGCAACGUCUGCAAAAGUUUCGACGAGGAUAUUGAAAGAAUAAGUGGGGGAGAAUGUUAUGGACAAAACUGUAAACGAGGUGUUUGAUAUAAUGCUCAUGUAUGUCUGUGUCUUUCGGUUUUGUAUAUGCUUUGCAUAGCAUGUAAAUGGAUGACAAUAGGCUUAGCAACCUCAUUUUCUUUGGUUUUGGUGGCCAUCUUAGGCUUGCAAACAAAGAUUGUGUCAUGUGGGCACUUGUGGGGAUUUGGGUCUGUAGUGGAUCAUUUUGUACCCUUUGUUGUGCGAUCAUUUAAAGUUUGUGAAGUAUAUUUGUAAUUUGCAUUGGCUAUGAAGUGCUUAUUGGAAUGAUUAGAUGUGCAAACUAACAUGUAAUCUCAAAAGGUUUAGAUGUGACAAUUAAAUGUGUAUUUCAAGAGUCGUUAAUUACCUUUAGCUAUUGUAGUAGAGUUUAUGAUCAUUUGUAUCACUUGUAUUUCAGAUUUAUGCACAUUAUCUUGACCCAUUCUCAACUAGUUUUUUUCUGCCUAGCCAUGCCUUAGUGCAUGUCUUUAGUAUCAUUUCAGAUAGGAUCAUAAUAUUAUCAAUCAUCUUUAUCAAUGCGUGAUAUGCGUUUUAUAUUUUGAUAUCAGUUGUCCCGUCUUUACUGUGCAGGAAGUUAUAGAACUGAUAGAACUUGCAAAUUCAUCAAUAAUAUUGGGAAGAUACUCUUUUUUUCUUUAUGACCGAAUAAUAAUGUCCCAAAACUUUUUGUCAAACUUUAUGUCUCAAUUUUGGAAAGUCAGACAUUAAUGAAAUGAAUUUAUGGAAGUGAGAAAAAGUAGAAUUCAUGAAUUUAAAUCAGACAAGUAAUCUAAGCAAAAACAUGCACUUAUAUCAUGUGAACAUAAAACAUAAAGGAUAUGAUACUUUCUUAUAUCAUGUUGUGAUAUAUAUAUAUAUAUAUAUAUAUAUAUAUAUAUAUAUAUAUAUAUAUAUAUAUAUAUAUAUAUAUAAUCAUCGAUCAGCCAAUAAUUUUUCUUUUCUUUUGCAUAGUAUCAUGGACAAUAGUCGAUGGGCAAGAUUGUUACGGUUUGGAUUGUAGUGGGGAUAAUUGAUGAGGUAAAAAAUGACGUAACGUGUAUAAAAGUACAGUAAAAAAUGAUGAUGGAUAGAAGUAAAAUGAAUAUUAAAAAAAUAUUUUUUUUAAUUUAGAUAAUUUCAUAAGAAAAUUUUAAAGUUGAAGGUUUUUUUUUUAAAGAAUUCGUCGGACGAUCAAAUCACUUUUCUCAUGAAAAGCGUGUUUUCUUAUGGAGAGAUAAAUUUAUAUAAAUAUUUUGUCGAUCACUUUAUCCAUAUUUGUGAUAUAAAUAAAUUGUUCCUGCAGUAUUGUAUUUCUUGUGCACAGCGAAGCUUAUACACACUAUAUAUAGGAAUUAGGGUACCCCUCUCAGGUCUCUUUCUUCUCCCACAAUGGCGGCUGCGACGCUCCGCUCCGUGCUCCGCCGCAAUCGCCUCCUGCCCUUGUUCGAAACCUGCCACCUUCGAGAUCGCCUCUUCUUCUCCUCCUCUGACGUCGCUGCCGCCGUCACCGUAUGCGGCACCAUGUCUCCAGAUCCCCACUUCAUGGUGGAAUACCUCGUCAACUCCUGUGGGUUCUCCCACUCCGAGGCAGCCAAGUUCUCUAAAUCCCUUGCGCACCUCCGAUCCACCGAGAAACCCGACGCCGUCCUUAACUUCAUGAGAUCUCGGGGCUUCGAUGGCGCCGGUAUCAGGAAGGUGAUAUCUCGGAAUCCCAGUCACCUAUGCGUGAACGUGGAGAAGAACUUGGCCCCGAAGUUUCAGUUCUUACGCGAUUUGGGCCUAUCGGAGUCGGAUAUCGUCGAUGUCAUCCUGAAGGACAGUGCCAUCCUCCGCCUCGACGUUCACCGUUCCAUCGUCCCCAGAUUGGAGAUGUGGGAAAGUCUCUUGGGAUCGAGAGAGCUCGUUCUCAAGCAUCUCAAGAAGACAAGAUGGUUUCUCAGUUCCACCGUUGAGAAGAGGAUGCAUCCUAACCUAAAGUUCUUAAGGGAUGAGUGCGGUAUCCCUGAAGAAAGGGUCUCUUCCGUCUUGAGAACUCACCCAACUUUUAUCUUACAGAAACCAGAGUCACUCCGGGCUUUGGUUGUGAGAGCCGAGGAACUUGGGAUGCUCCGACACUCUCAAAUGUUCAUGUCGAUCCUUAAAUCUCUCCACAUGGCAAGCAAAGAAACACUCGAGGCAAAGGUUGAGCUCCUGAGGAGCUUCGGGUGGUCGGAGUCCGAGGUUUUUUCUGCAUUCAAGCAGACACCGAGCAUAUUAUCCCUUUCGAUGGAGUCGUUUCGUAGAAAAAUGGAAUUUUUAAUCAAUGAAGUUGGGUGCGUCCCUUCCUUCAUCGCCGACCACUCAUCUCUCUUGCAAUAUAGUUUGGAGCAGAGGGUAAUUCCUCGGUUUCGUGUUUUGGAGAUGUUGAAUACGAAAGGCUUGUGGACUCGACGAGGCAAGUUUUUGUCCUAUGUGCAAUUAUCAAAUACAAAAUUCAUGGAGAGGAUUGUUCUACCUUACAAAGAAAAGGUUCCUGAGCUUCUUGAUAUUUUGAGAGCAGGUGAGUGUGAAGGGAAAUGAGCCCUUUUAUUUGGUAUCAGAGGAGGAUGAGAAGGGCUUAGCUGAUGGUCUAACUCACAUGUGAAUUUCUCAACAGGAGAUGAGCAGUGAUUCGGCAC